AACAGGAUUAGAUACCCUGGUAGUCCACGCCCUAAACGAUGUCAACUAGUUGUUGGUAGAGUAAAAUCUAUGAGUAACGCAGCUAACGCGUGAAGUUGACCGCCUGGGGAGUACGAUCGCAAGAUUAAAACUCAAAUGAAUUGACGGGGGCCCGCACAAGCGGUGGAUUAUGUGGAUUAAUUCGAUGCAACGCGAAAAACCUUACCUGGCCUUGACAUGUAACGAACUUUCCAGAGAUGGAUUGGUGCUCGAAAGAGAACGUUAACACAGGUGCUGCAUGGCUGUCGUCAGCUCGUGUCGUGAGAUGUUGGGUUAAGUCCCGCAACGAGCGCAACCCUUGCCAAUAAUUGCCAUCAUUUAGUUGGGCACUUUAUUGGGACUGCCGAUGACAAAUCGGAGGAAGGUGGGGAUGACGUCAAGUCCUCAUGGCCCUUAUGGCCAGGGCUUCACACGUAAUACAAUGGUCGGUACAGAGGGUCGCCAACCCGCGAGGGGGAGCUAAUCCCAGAAAGCCGAUCGUAGUCCGGAUUGUUCUCUGCAACUCGAGAGCAUGAAGUCGGAAUCGCUAGUAAUCGCGGAUCAGCAUGUCGCGGUGAAUACGUUCCCGGGCCUUGUACACACCGCCCGUCACACCAUGGGAGUGGGUUUUACCAGAAGUAGGUAGUCUAACCGCAAGGGGGGCGCUUACCACGGUAGUAUUCAUGACUGGGGUGAAGUCGUAACAAGGUAACC
rnacentral:rRNA from 1 species